rnacentral:lncRNA from 1 species
ACUAUCCUAAAGAAUAAAGUAAAAGCUAGGGAGGAAAGAUCUAACCAAGAGAUAGCAAGAUUUAUGACAUAAGUCAAGCAAGAAUUCCCUCCUUUGGAUUAAACCUCAAGCAAGAAAAAUAAGCAAAUAAUAAUCCAUGUGUCAGAUGAAACCAAAGUAAUCAAGCCAAGUCUUCACAGAGAUGUCCAAAGUCAUAGGUAUUAGAUGAAUUCC